GUGAACUUUGGUCAGAGUUAAUGUGGUUUCCGUAGGUCUUCCAAAAGGAGUUGGGGAAGAGGACCAGCAGCGUGCAGGCACUGAAGCGCUCGGCCAGAGAGCUCAUAGAAGGCAGCCGGGAUGACUCCUCCUGGGUCAAGGUCCAGAUGCAGGAAUUAAGCACCCGCUGGGAGACUGUGUGUGCACUUUCUAUAUCAAAGCAGACGCGGUUAGAAGCAGCCCUGCGACAGGCAGAGGAAUUUCACUCUGUGGUCCACGCCCUCCUGGAGUGGCUGGCGGAAGCAGAG